GGGCGAAUGGUCUAGGGGUAUGAUACUCCCUUCGCAUACAUCCUAAAUCUGGGAUCUUCGUGCUUGGGAGGGGUCCGGGGUUCAAUUCCCCGUUCGUCCA